UAGAGUUUGAUCCUGGCUCAGAAUCAACGCUGGCGGCGUGCCUAACACAUGCAAGUCGCACGAGAAAGGGGCUUCGGCUCUGAGUAAAGUGGCGCACGGGUGAGUAACACGUGAAUUAUCUACCUCCGAGUGGGGAAUAACUGAGAGAAAUCUUAGCUAAUACCGCAUAACACUUACGAGUCAAAGCAGCAAUGCGCUUGGAGAGGAGUUCGCGGCCGAUUAGUUAGUUGGCGGGGUAAUGGCCCACCAAGACGAUGAUCGGUAUCCGGCCUGAGAGGGCGCACGGACACACUGGAACUGAAACACGGUCCAGACUCCUACGGGAGGCAGCAGUGGGGAAUUUUGCGCAAUGGGGGAAACCCUGACGCAGCAACGCCGCGUGGAGGAUGAAAUCCCUUGGGAUGUAAACUCCUUUCGAUAGGGAAGAUUAUGACGGUACCUAUAGAAGAAGCCCCGGCUAACUUCGUGCCAGCAGCCGCGGUAAUACGAGGGGGGCAAGCGUUGUUCGGAAUUAUUGGGCGUAAAGGGCGCGUAGGCGGUUUGACAAGUCUGAUGUGAAAUCUCUGGGCUCAACCCAGAGUCUGCAUUAGAAACUGUCGGGCUUGAGUAUGGGAGAGGUGAGUGGAAUUUCCGGUGUAGCGGUGAAAUGCGUAGAUAUCGGAAGGAACACCUGUGGCGAAAGCGGCUCACUGGACCAUAACUGACGCUGA
rnacentral:rRNA from 1 species